rnacentral:lncRNA from 1 species
AUGCAUAACGCCAUUAGCCCUAGAAAAAGAAAAUUCAAAUCUAUAGACGGUAAUCCCAAGAGACGGCGUAGAUCUGAUAGUGGGGGUAGCAUUAUGGAUUUAGAACUUGAAGAGAUGGCAAUGAGGUAUGACGCAACCGGCAAUAGGUCUCAUUUGUCGGCCGUAGGACAUGUGGGGGGUGGGGGCAUGUAUGCAGAAGGUUGUUUAGACACGCGGGAAAUGUGUGUUGGCAUAGAUAGAACUAGGCGUGUGUUAAUUGCAGCUGAUGCAUGGGGGCAUAGCAUGGCUAAUGCUCUAUAUCAGGCAGCACAGAUAAAUGUUUCGAACGAACCAGGUCUAGAUGAGAUGGGGGGGCUAGAGGUGCCAGGAGAUUUAGACACAAGGGGUGUGUUGUAUGCGGGGGCAAACACACGAAAUGUACUUAACGCUGUCGGGGGGUGGUUGGAUAGUGCACAAGAGAGUCUAUACAUAUCAGCGCAGAUCGAUGUAUUGCAUGGGUCGCAAUGUGAUGAAGGGAUUGGCGAGGGUUUUCAGGACCCCCCGGCUGUGACAGGGGUCCCUAUAGAGUCGCAAUGUGAUGAAGGGAUUGGCGAGGGUUUUCAGGACCCCCCGGCUGUGGCAGGGGUCCCUAUAGAGUCGAAUAUACAGGUCGGUGGGGGCGGUGGUGGUGUGGGGGGUGGUGGCGGUGUGGGGGGUGGCGGUGGUGGCGGUGAUGGUGGUGGUGUGGGAGGUGGCGGUGGUGGUGGCGGUGUGGGGGGUGGCGGUGGUGGCGGUGAUGGUGGUGGUGUGGGAGGUGGCGGUGGUGGUGGUGAUGUUGAUGGUGAUGGCGGUGGUGGUGACGGUGAUGGUGGUGGUGACGGUGAUGGUGGUGCUGCUGAUGCUGAUGAUGGUACACCUGUGCCUGCUGUAACGGGGGAAGAUAAUGACGAGUUGCAUACUAGAUUAUUUCCCCAUUUUAACGGCUUUGAGGUUAGACAGUCCAUUGAUCUGAGAAGUAUAUCCCUUGCAAAUUUACAGGAGGUCCCUGAUUUGAUCAGGGAGAGGCUGUCGGGUGUCAUAACGAGCUGCUCACAAAGUUCAGCCGAUGGUAGUGUCUUAAACGUGGUGCUGAGAGGCCCUUCAUUGGCCUCUGAUGUACAGACUGUGCUCGUAUCGGGUGACGAUUACAAUGCGGAUUUGUUUAUGGACCAUAUUAGCCAAGUCAUGCAGAGUAACGACACAGGUCUGACGGAUGACGUGCUAGAGUUGGUGGUCACAGGGGUCCACAACAAACGGGGUGGGGCACGUUUGAAGUUAAAAAACAUUCCCUAUGAUGAAAUCAUAAACAAGAAGAAGCUAAGUCUCUACACCCCGAGUAAUACUCAUAACAAUGUGUUUCUCACUAUGCAUGACACAUUUUCUGCAUGA